AUCCAGUUGAUGAGUUCCAAAUGGGACGAAACACGCGUCAAACUGAAU
rnacentral:hammerhead_ribozyme from 1 species